AGGACGAACGCUGGCGGCGCGCUUAACACAUGCAAGUCGAGCGAGAACCAGUCCUUCGGGACUGGGGACAGCGGCGAACGGGUGAGUAACACGUGGGUAAUCUGCCCUCGAUUCUGGGAUAGCCCGGGGAAACCCGGAUUAAUACCGGAUAGCCUCUCGAGCUUACGAGCUCGUGAGAAAAGGUAGCUUCGGCCUCCGAUCGAGGAUGAGCCCGCGGCGAUUAGCUUGUGGUGGGUAAUGGCCUACAAGGCAACGAUCCGUAGCUGGUCUGAGAGGACGAUCAGCCACACUGGGACUGAGACACGGCCCAGACUCCUACGGGAGCAGCAGUGGGAAUCUGCGCAAGUGGGCGAAAGGCCUGACCGCAGCGACGCCGCGUGGGGGAACGAAGGGCCGUUACGGGGUUACGUAAAACCGUUCCGUUUAC
rnacentral:rRNA from 1 species